AGAGUUUGAUCAUGGCUCAGGAUGAACGCUGGCGGCGUGCCUAACACAUGCAAGUCGAACGGGUGUGGUAUCAGGGAAAAAGGGGUUUACUUCUUUGACCAGAUAACACACUAGUGGCGGACGGGUGAGUAACGCGUGGAUAACCUGCCUUAUACAGGGGGAUAACAGGGAGAAAUUCUUGCUAAUACCCCAUAGGUAUGUCUGACGCAUGUUGGACAUAUUAAAGCUUUGGCGGUAUAAGAUGGGUCCGCGUCUGAUUAGCUAGUUGGUGGGGUAAAGGCCCACCAAGGCGACGAUCAGUAGCCGGCUUGAGAGAGUGGACGGCCACAUUGGGACUGAGACACGGCCCAAACUCCUACGGGAGGCAGCAGUGGGGAAUAUUGCACAAUGGGGGAAACCCUGAUGCAGCGACGCCGCGUGAAGGAAGAAGGUCUUCGGAUCGUAAACUUCUAUCAGCAGGGAAGAAGGAAGUGACAGUACCUGAGUAAGAAGCCCCGGCUAACUACGUGCCAGCAGCCGCGGUAAUACGUAGGGGGCGAGCGUUAUCCGGAAUUACUGGGUGUAAAGGGUGCGUAGGCGGUAUGGCAAGUCAGUUGUGAAACCCCCUGGCUCAACCAGGGGCUUGCAAUUGAAACUGUCAUACUAGAGUGCAGGAGAGGAAAGCGGAAUUCCUAGUGUAGCGGUGAAAUGCGUAGAUAUUAGGAAGAACACCAGUGGCGAAGGCGGCUUUCUGGACUGUAACAGACGCUGAGGCACGAAAGCGUGGGGAGCGAACAGGAUUAGAUACCCUGGUAGUCCACGCCGUAAACGAUGAGUGCUAGGUGUUGGGGUCUAAUUAGAUCUCGGUGCUGAAGUUAACGCAUUAAGCACUCCACCUGGGGAGUACGAUCGCAAGAUUGAAACUCAAAUGAAUUGACGG
rnacentral:rRNA from 1 species